AGCAUUUGCUGAGCCUCCUCUGAACACAAGGCGGAUGGUCAAGCAUGGCUGAGGAAGGUUUUCUGGUCAAGAAUCUAGGCUGGGCAUCAUUCUCCCAGUGACCACACGUGGACAGAACAAGAGCAGGCACUGCAGGUCUGCCCCAGCAGGGCCCUUUCCAGCGCUUCAUGAACAAGAGGUGGAGAAGAGACUAGCCGGCUGGAAGGAGCGCCGCAGUCUCUAAGGAGACAUUGACGUGCACAAGUACUAUCAGUCUUGGCUGGUCUUCACCCCUUUCCAAGCCCUCACCACCAUGGACAUGCAAAGAUUGGUGCUUCCCUGAGACCUGCCCACUAGUCACCACAUGCAGAGAAUGGACACUUCAUGCCUCACUGAUGUGAACCUCCAGGACUGACCCUUGUCUUCCACAGAGCUGGAUUUGUGAAAGGAUGACAGCAACCACAGGAAAAAGAAAUCAGUGAGCCACAUUAAAACGCCUUUAUUCCCUGCAACAGUUAAAGCAACAAAAUCUA
rnacentral:lncRNA from 1 species